rnacentral:rRNA from 1 species
AUAUAAAGAAAAGACGAACAGCUCAGUAACUCUUAUUUUAUUUGAUGUAUUAGGAUUAUAACUAUGUUAAAUUAUAGAUAACAAUAAUACAAUAAGAAUAAGAUCUAUCAGUUAGUUGUUAAGGUAAUGGCUUAACAAGACUAUGACGGAUAACGGUAUUACUUUGUAAUAUUCCGGAGAAGGAGCCUGAGAGAUUGCUACUAAGUCUAAGGAUUGCAGCAGGGGCGAAACUUGACCUAUGAUAUGAUAUUGAGGCAGUUAUGAGUAGUAUUUUUAAUUAUUGUAGUAUUGUAAGUAUAUACUACAAGAUAAAUCGGAGGGCAAAUCGAGUGCCAGCAGCCGCG